rnacentral:rRNA from 1 species
AGCGAACGCUGGCGGCAGGCUUAACACAUGCAAGUCGAGCGGGUGUAGCAAUACAUCAGCGGCAGACGGGUGAGUAACGCGUGGGAACGUACCUUUUGGCUCGGAACAACACAGGGAAACUUGUGCUAAUACCGGAUAAGCCCUUACGGGGAAAAAUUUAUCGCCGAAAGAUCGGCCCGCGUCUGAUUAGCUAGUUGGUAGGGUAACGGCCUACCAAGGCGACGAUCAGUAGCUAGUCUGAGAGGAUGAUCAGCCACAUUGGGACUGAGACACGGCCCAAACUCCUACGGGAGGCAGCAGUGGGGAAUAUUGGACAAUGGGGGCAACCCUGAUCCAGCCAUGCCGCGUGAGUGAUGAAGGCCCUAGGGUUGUAAAGCUCUUUUGUGCGGGAAGAUAAUGACGGUACCGCAAGAAUAAGCCCCGGCUAACUUCGUGCCAGCAGCCGCGGUAACAC